GCAAUUAAUUCAAAGAAAUGGAUUAAAGUUUUGCCCUCAUGAAUUUGGACAUGACCCCAGAUACUGUUUGUGUACUUUACUGGGAUUCCUUGGUACAGCUUUAUAAUUCUGGAAUGACUCUUACUGCUUCUGUCUUUGGAGCAUGGCUGUGCAUAUGAAGCUACUGAGAAGAGUGGCCAAAGCAAUUUGGAAGGAAUGACUCUUCACAAGAUUUAGUUCCGUCUCAUACUUCCAGGGCUGGUAAAAGGAAAUCUCUCAUUUCUAAAAGAGAAUUUCAGCUGUUCUGAAGCCUGCAGAUGCUGAAUAAGUACCUACAAGCAAAAAAAAAAAAAUCUUGACCUCUAUCUUAAAUUAACUUUCCUUUCGACAUUCAAAUAUUUAACCAGGAUAUGACCAAGUGCUGAUCUCAUCUUAAUAUUGUUGCUGGCUAUAUGAUGAACACCUUUGAUCUGCAAAAUCAGAUCUAUAAAUCAGGUAGGAAGUUUCUGUGUGGGUCCUCAAUUCCUAAUAUGCCUAAAUCCAUUAGGUUAGACUCUUCGGUGUUUAGAUUGGAGGACUAGCUGAUGUAAGUUUUCAUGGUUAGGUCAGUGAUCUCACCAGCCAGUUAGGCAUGGAGAAAGAUGUAGGGCUUUAGGAAAGUCCAGAAGAACCAAUUUGUCUCUGAACCAUUACUCCCUGAGUUUGGUGAGGCAUGGGCACUGGGAGUGACCUUUUUGUGUCUGUUGUAUCCACUGCGUCAGCUUUUGCACCUACUCUGUGUCCCUGUCUGAUCUCUUUACUACUGUCCAAGGCUCAGAAGAGCUCCCCAAUACUAACAGAUGCCAGUUAUUCUGGAAUUUUCCCUUUAAUAGGCCACACUUACUUUUAAUAUCCCUCAAAGAGCUGCUUAUCAUCCAUGGUGGUGAAGUGGUUCCUAAUGGAAAGUUCUCUAUUUCUUCUGCUAGCUACCAUUGCAAAGGAAAAGAAAUAAAAAUCUAAUUCUCCCUCCUCCCUUUAGGGAGUGUGAGUGUGUUCUAUCUAUUUGCUUAAUAAAUAUGCGUUAAAUUUAAUUAUUGUUGAAUUGUCUUCCUACAGUUUUAAGUAGAAUGACCCCUCCUACGUACCAACAACAACAAAAAAGAUUAUCAGAAAUUUCUGGAAAUACAGCUUUUGUAAAAUAACACUUCUGACAACCAAUCUAACAACUUCAGUGAUGAUAUUGCUUAGGGAAGUUCAGGAGUCUAAUUCUACAGCAAAUUUCAGGUGGAAUGUCCUUCUUAAGGUAGCCACCCACCAUCGCAGGUCAGUAAGUAACAGUGACUUUCACUCUUUUAAAGGAAAAACACUAAUGCAAAUGUUGAUCAACAUCUAUUAACAAUGACUGAGCAAUGCUCAUUGCUUGGAAAGGUGAGAGGGUUAAAAUUUGAAUCAUUUUCUGAGGAAACCUGUUCAAGUCAGGCUAUAACUUCAUACUUCUGAGAGCAUGACAGGAUUGUAUCCCUAGGAUUUUUCUUCAAAUCUCUAGAUUCUACUUUUUCCGCCUUGUUUUUUGUUUCUCUUGAGCACUUCCAUGCCCAGACUAGGAGGCUAUUUUAGUAUCACUGUUCCGUAAAUUCUUUAGAUUAACCUUUAGUGGCACCAAAAUAGCCUAAGUAUGUGGAUAUACAGAUCUUAAUUAAUUUUUAAGGCAUAAUAGAGUUCCUAGAUACAAUAUAUGUUUUAAAAAAGAAAAGAAUUAGAAAACAGCUUAUCUAAGGAACUUACAAAUCAAUAAGAUAAACAACCAUACCAAAUGAGAAGCAGAAAAUAUAAGCAGACAUUUCACAGAAGAAAAAAUCCAGGUGAUCACAAACAUAGAAAGAGACAGCCUUACUAAUACCCAGAGAAAUACAAAUUAAAACAUCCUGAUGACAUUUCACAACAGUAAAAUUGACAGAGUCUAGGAAGUUUGUUAAAUGAAGUGUUGGUAGGGGAAAAGAAACUCUUAAUCACUGAUGGCAGAAGUACCAAUUGAUACAACUGCUUUGGACAGUGAUUUUGUGAUAGUAAGCAGAGUCGACUAUCUAUCUAUCUAUCUAUCUAUCUAUCUAUCUAUCUAUCUAUCUAUCUAUCUAUCUAUGUCCUAUGACCUUCCAUUUGGCUUCUGGGUUUCCAUCCUAGCGAAAUCUUUGUACUUCUCUGAGCCAUUCUUUUAAUAACAAUAAAUUGGAAAUGACUCAGAUGUCUAUCAGCAAGAGAAUGGAAACUACUAAACUGUGGUAUAUUGAUGAAGAUGGAAUGUUAUGCAAUACCAAAGUAAAUGAACAUUCUCAUAUGUCAACAUGGACAGGUUUUAAAGGCAGUGUUGAAUGAGAAAAAGGGAUUACAUUUUGAUACCACUUAUUUAAAUUUAAAAUGGCAAGCAAUGGUAAUACAGCAUUUAAUGAAUAUAUGUGAAUAUAUACACAUUGUAUGAUUAUAUGUGUGAAUUAAAUAUAUUUCAUUUUAGAAGAGUUUAUCUUCUAGGAUUGGAGAGAUGUAAAUGUAUCUGUGGAUGGAAAAAGAGAAGAUGGCAAUUUUCUUGUAAUGUGUGUGCCCAUUUCCUUAAAUAAAAGAGCUCUGGAAGUAAAUACUGCAAAGCAUGGCUCACUUACAAUAGUGGGUACAUUAGUAUUUGCUGUAUUUCCUUGUAAAUAUUAGGCUUUUGUAUUAAAAAAAAAAAAGGGAUCCUGUACAUAUACUCUUUGGGCCCCUAAUCUGUCACUAAAUUCUCUGCUGGUCCUAUGGGUGCCAGAACAUCAGCAACAUGCUGGAGGGCUUGCCUGUCCUUUCUGCACAUGGGAAGCUGUUUUCUAGCUCUUGAUUUUGUCUAGACAUAGUUUUUCUGCAGUGUUUUUCUCAGCUGCACAUAUGUUAAAUACCUCUGAAAAGUGACAUCAAUCCACUUUCAGGGGAGAAACAAUUUUAAAACUGCAAUUCAUCUGCAAUGAUUCUUAUUUUUAAUAUUUUAGGAUAAAUAUUAAAAUGUCAUCUAAAUGACAACAGUGCAAAUAAUGGAUUUUUAUACUCAGACAUUAUUGUUAUCUACUUCAUCUGCAAUGUUAUUUGAUACCUUAGGAGAACAAGAUUCUUUAUAAAAGUAGAUUGUGAUCUCUCUGUUUUAAAACACAACAUGAGAGGUAGACAUCUUUUCUUCUUACAUUUCCAAUCUAAUAAUCCUCCUUUUCAAUAGCCUUAGUGUUAUAAAAAAAUAAAAUUCAGAAAAAGAGUUGUACUUCUAUGGACCUCACCAGAAUCAUGUGGAGGGUUUUGAAGUGUUUUAAAGGAAAUUUCUGCCUUGCCUUAGGCUAGAGUAAGGGCUAGGAGUGAAGAGGGUGGAUCCAUAGGAAAGAAGGCUCAGCUCUGGUGUGAAGUGCUGUGGUGAUUAGAGGAAAUGACUUAUCAGUUCCUUUGUGAUCUCCAAAAGAAACCAUUUGUGAAAUCAAUGGCUGCCUGGCAGAGCCCAUCAACUGGCGGUCAAAGAUAUAUAUCUUCAUUACUAUCAGUUACCUGUGUCCUUUGGGUGGCUAGAAGGGACCUAAAUUCUAUAGGUCAGAGCACCAUCAUGAGUAAAGGCAUCACACUGAUUUACAUGCAAUUAUUAUAUGCAAGGGGAAGCUUGGCACUACUUUAUCUUACAGGAAAUCAAAUGCUGGCUUAACUGUUAUUAUCUAGACAGCUUAAUAUGUUCCUUAUGAGAAAAUUUCCAAUCUAUAUCAACCCACUUACAAGAACUAAUAGAUAGAGUGGAAAACAUAAAAUAUAAUUACUGUGGCAAUGAUGUGCACAAUCACUUCAGCUGCUGGGCUACUUUGGGAUGUUUAAACAGCUAAUGUGAAGUCAGGAAGGGGAGAACAUUUUUCUGAUUAGUGCUGUGUAGGGAAUACUGAGAAAAAGUACAUAGAAAAUGCUUGUAGCCAUGUGAAAUAGCCCAAGUGGAGCUGAAAUAAGACCCCCUUUCAUCCUACAAGUUAUUUUGGGGUUAGAAUGUUUAAAUAAAAACAAGAUGGAUAGUUCCUCAGGAUUUCAGAGCUGGAACAGAGAACCUUUUGCUGAGGCAAGGAGGAAUGGUGGAGGCAGUCACAUUCCAAUGAAAAAGUCCUCUACCAUGGAGGUUUGGCUCAGAAAGCAGUGGCUGGGCAUCUGGAGCCUGAAGACUUACACCUUUUAAUGGGGAAUACCUCUUUUUUUAAAUUUUUUUAAAUUUUUUUUUUGGGGGGGCGAAAUAUCUCUUUAUAGGUCCUUGGAAAUUUUGGAUCCUUGUGGUCUGGCAUGGCUAGGAGAUUGCAUCGUAGUGUAAAUAAGCCACACUGGGCUUCAGCAUUUUUCUUCUAAACAAUUCAAAUAGACCUUAAGAUAGUUAUUGGGACUUUGUGGGGUGAGGGUCACAUAAAUAACAGCUCACUUGCCCCUUUGGAUUUAGAAGUCAUUGAAAAAUAUAUUACUGGAAAGGACGUGGCUAAACAUCAAAAUGCCAUGUUUAGUGGUUCAGUUGAAUUGGAACAACUUGGAUCUGCAACUACCAGUACUUUCUCUGAAUGAAGCUCACUACCCAGCCACAGGCCUCUCCUAAGGCAGGACACUCAGGUUAUAUUCUGGGACACGGCUGUUCCUAUAGUUUGAAGGCUGAGGCCCAUGGUCCAGCCCUUCUCCCCAGUUCACUCAACUACUCAGGGAGGAGAAGGAGGAGGAAGAGGAAAAAGAAGGGAGUAGUAAGAGGCAGACCCAAAUAUUUCUCCCACACUUUUCCUGCUUAAUGUUUCUCUGUAUAGAAAUAUGAAAAGUAUUAUAUUAUCUCUAUAAUGGUCCUUGACCAUAUCAAAGAUCUAUUUAUUCUAAUUACAUCUUUGGGCUAAGAUUAGUCAACAUAUAGGAAUAUAUAUUUUGGAAUUGCCAGGAGCACUCAGAUAUCAACUCUGGGAAAUUAUAAACUAACAGUUAUUGAGUAUUAGCCAUCUCAGUCUAAGCUGCUCAUCUACAGAUGCAAAAUCAAAAGCCCUUAUAAGAGCAAUUUGCUCAGGGUCAGAGUUAGUUAACUGCAGGCUGGGACCAGUAGCCAGGGUUCUUUCUCCUUGGGUAAGGCUUCCUUUUAAGGAACUGUAUUCAUAUCAGUACUGGGAUAUUACUAGUAAAUAUUUUGGUGGGAGUGGUGCUACUUACAAUCUGACAAUCUCUGUUCCAAUAACAUGUUAUCCUAUUUCAUCCUUACAAUCAUAGUGAAAUUGAUAAUAUAAUUGUUUUCAUUUAACAGAUAAAAAAAUUCAUUCUCCAAGAGAGAAGAGAGACUUGUCCAAGGUCAUUCAGCAAAUGAGUGAGGACUCAGAUCCACCCAACAUUCUUCCCUAAAUCAAAGCUAUGAAAGAUCAUUAGGGAAGAUCUUGCCUAAUCUUCCAAUUCUACUGCACGGAAACAGGAAGUAUGAUUCCAAAGAAUGGGCCUAUGAGUGCACUUCCAAACCACAGCUAAUUUUCCCUAAGAGUCUUCCGGAUGGUGGGUUUUUUGAGUACUUUCCAGAAAAAAAAAGUCAAUUAAUAUCUUACUGUUACUUGUACAUAGAAUUGUAUAUAACUGUUCAAUAAAUUGCAAAACAGAGCCUCUGGCUUCACACAUUACUGAUAAUGAACAUCAGAACUUUGGUUGGUUCAAUUAACACAUUGUAAUUUCACUCAAUGAGAUGACUUUCAAUUAAAAACUUGUUAACUGCAUACAGAGACUAGAAGAAAGGCCAAAUGCUAACAUGUGGCAUCCUUUAAUUACAUGAAGAAAUGUUUGGAAUUCAAAGGUGAUGGGAAGCAUUUUGAUCUCCGCAUAAUGAACAAUUGUUCAUUAUCAUAGUCCUAUCGAAUUCUAAUUACUUACAGGAAUUAUAUGAUCCCUUAAAUAUUAGAAGUGGCAAAUACAGUGUAUACAAUAUUUUCAUGAAGUAAGAUUACUACAGGUUUAAUAGUGAAAUACAGUGAAGUCUUCCAAAAUUUUUGUUGUGUUUAUGCAGAGUCAGUGAGGUAAACAAUACAGUUAGAAUCAGGCAGACUACCAGAUAACAUGUUGACCUUCACUUUCUUCCCACUUCCUUCAGACAAAGGAAGCUUGGGAGGAGUAACAGGGGUACCUGCAGAUAACGUUUAAAAAGGAAAGAUGGUCAAGACAUGAGCUCUUGAGCCACAGAUUUUUAACUAUAUCACUUUCCCAGAGGAAAGUUAACUUUCUGUGGGGAAAGUUAAUCAAUGCAGAACUGGAAAAUCUGCCCGGAUAAAGAAUAGUCUGUGGUGCUGAAGUUUUGGCUCCAUGUUCUAAUGUUGAACUUGAUCAGCUAGGGGUACUUGAAGGACUCUUGCUGAGAUUGGCCAGGCCCAAGCUGUCUAAAAUGAAAAGUUCAAACUGUCUAAAAUGAAAACAGGAUAAAACUUUGGCUUUUUUCUCCAAAUUUGAAGGACCCAUUCUUAAAUUUUAGCAUUUCCAUGAGGGGUUGCCUGGUCAGGAGUAUAGAUUCCAGUGAAGGAGGCCUGAGGAAGUCAGAGUCACUCAUUGGUAGGCCACAGAUCAUGGCUGGUCCAUAGACAUAUUUUGUUCGGCUUAAGUAGUGUUUAAUUCUUACCUAAUUUUAGAAUCAAGAGACUUCUACAUGAAAUAAUUGUAUUUCUAGCUCUCUUUAAAAGUCAAGAUGUAGCUAGCUUAGCUCAUGUUUUUCCUGGAGGCUGGAGCUACACUGUGGCUACCCAUUCAGGUGAGAUAUAGACUCCUCACUUUGUUUUGUUUUGUUUUUUUUGGUACCGAGGCUCGAACUCGGGUCCUUGCGCUUGCGCAGCAGGUGGCAAAACCACUGAGCUAAAUCCCCGGCCCGAUAGACCCCUCACUUUGCACAGAGCAACCCACCACCAUUUGACCCCAGCUCUAUCUGCCUCUUCAUAUAUAUUAUUUGCCUGAGCCUCUAGUGUUGGGCUUUACAACUUCUGCUUGAUCUGGAUUCCUGGAGAACACUAGGAAAUAUAACCAAGUAAAGAUGCAGAGACCUUUCCACCACAACGUUAGUAGUCUGACAUAGUCAGUUCCUUGGUUUGGGGCAGUACUGUCUGUCCUUUGAAAAAAGGAGGGCAAUAAAACAUGGUGAAAAUCCUCAGAGGAAGAAAAGAGGGAGAGAAACACUGAUGCAGGUAAGUGCCUCCAGUACAGUAUCCUUCUUGGAACAGGUAGGUAAUGAACUCUCUUUGCCCUUGACUACCCCAAAACAAAUUGCCAUUUAAUUUUUUAAUUAAGCUGAAAAAAUAUCAGCCAGUGAAAAGUACAUCAAGCCAAUUCUGCUUUCUUGAACUACUUAACCAUUAACCUUCAUGCUCACAUCUACUUUGGUGAAAAGGACAUCUAUAUUUCUGGGAUAUUAAGGAAAAAAUCUUGCUCAUCACUGACUGUAAAAUGUAGUUCUCUUGCUACAUUUAUAAAACUGUACAGGUAAAAUGAGCUGUGGAUUUGAGAAUGUGGGUGACACAGGAGAGGAAAGACCAGGGAUAGCACAGCCCAUCAUCAGUAUUCAGAUUGUUGAAAUGUUGCCCAUGAAUUAAUUUGUUUAUUCAGGGCUCCCUGAGUAAUUCAUUCCCGUUAUCUUCACUUCUGAAUAAUGAGUUUGUAUCUUUUGAACUUCAUGCUAUUUCUAAAUUGGCCUUAAAACUCAUUUCACAUUUUAGAAUAAUAAUUCCUUUGUAUUAAAAACUAUGUGGACAAGGACGUAAUAAAUAAAAUCCUUUGGACCAAAGGAGACCUGAGUCAUAGUCUCUGCUCUUCUGUGAACCACUGUGUUACUCAGUGUGGUCAUACCACCUCUCUGAGCCUUACUUUUUACUUUGUAAAGAAGAUAUGAGAACUGGAUGAUCUUUCAGACUUUUUGAAAUUUUUAUAUUUUGAGAAACAAAGAAUUGGGAG
rnacentral:lncRNA from 1 species